GGGUUGUGAGGUUAAGCGACUAAGCGUACACGGUGGAUGCCUAGGCAGUCAGAGGCGAUGAAGGGCGUGCUAAUCUGCGAUAAGCGUCGGUAAGCUGAUAUGAAGCGUUAUACCCGACGAUACCCGAAUGGGGAAACCCAGUGUGUUUCGACACACUAUCAUGACAUGAAUACAUAGUGUCAUGAGGCGAACCGGGGGAACUGAAACAUCUCAGUACCCCGAGGAAAAGAAAUCAACCGAGAUUCCCCCAGUAGCGGCGAGCGAACGGGGAGGAGCCCAGAACCUGAAUCAGUUUGUGUGUUAGUGGAAGCGUCUGGAAAGUCGCACAGUAAAGGGUGAUAGUCCCGUACACAAAAAUGCACAGAUUGUGAGUUCGAUGAGUAGGGCGGGACACGUGACAUCCUGUCUGAAUAUGGGGGGACCAUCCUCCAAGGCUAAAUACUCCUGACUGACCGAUAGUGAACCAGUACCGUGAGGGAAAGGCGAAAAGAACCCCGGCGAGGGGAGUGAAAUAGAACCUGAAACCGUGUACGUACAAGCAGUGGGAGCCUACUUGUUAGGUGACUGCGUACCUUUUGUAUAAUGGGUCAGCGACUUAUAUUCUGUAGCAAGGUUAACCGUAUAGGGGAGCCGCAGGGAAACCGAGUCUUAACUGGGCGUUAAGUUGCAGGGUAUAGACCCGAAACCCGGUGAUCUAGCCAUGGGCAGGUUGAAGGUUGGGUAACACUAACUGGAGGACCGAACCGACUAAUGUUGAAAAAUUAGCGGAUGACUUGUGGCUGGGGGUGAAAGGCCAAUCAAACCGGGAGAUAGCUGGUUCUCCCCGAAAGCUAUUUAGGUAGCGCCUCGUGAAUUCAUCUUCGGGGGUAGAGCACUGUUUCGGCUAGGGGGUCAUCCCGACUUACCAACCCGAUGCAAACUACGAAUACCGAAGAAUGUUAUCACGGGAGACACACGGCGGGUGCUAACGUUCGUCGUGAAGAGGGAAACAACCCAGACCGCCAGCUAAGGUCCCAAAGUCAUGGUUAAGUGGGAAACGAUGUGGGAAGGCAUAGACAGCCAGGAUGUUGGCUUAGAAGCAGCCAUCAUUUAAAGAAAGCGUAAUAGCUCACUGGUCGAGUCGGCCUGCGCGGAAGAUGUAACGGGGCUAAACCAUGCACCGAAGCUGCGGCAGCGACACUUAGGUGUUGUUGGGUAGGGGAGCGUUCUGUAAGCCUGCGAAGGUGGCCUGUGAGGGCUGCUGGAGGUAUCAGAAGUGCGAAUGCUGACAUAAGUAACGAUAAUGCGGGUGAAAAACCCGCACGCCGGAAGACCAAGGGUUCCUGUCCAACGUUAAUCGGGGCAGGGUGAGUCGACCCCUAAGGCGAGGCUGAAAAGCGUAGUCGAUGGGAAACAGGUUAAUAUUCCUGUACUCGGUGUUACUGCGAAGGGGGGACGGAGAAAGCUAGGUUAUCCGGGCGACGGUUGUCCCGGUUUAAGCGUGAAGGUGGAUGACUUUGGUAAAUCCGGGUCAUCAUUAACACUGAGGCGUGAUGACGAGUCACUACGGUGAUGAAGUAACCGAUGCUACGCUUCCAGGAAAAGCCUCUAAGCUCCAGGUAACAUCAAAUCGUACCCCAAACCGACACAGGUGGUCAGGUAGAGAAUACUCAGGCGCUUGAGAGAACUCGGGUGAAGGAACUAGGCAAAAUGGUGCCGUAACUUCGGGAGAAGGCACGCUGAUGGUAGGUGAAGUGACUUGCUCAUGGAGCUGAAAUCAGUCGAAGAUACCAGCUGGCUGCAACUGUUUAAUAAAAACACAGCACUGUGCAAACACGAAAGUGGACGUAUACGGUGUGACGCCUGCCCGGUGCCGGAAGGUUAAUUGAUGGGGUCAGCCGCAAGGCGAAGCUCUUGAUCGAAGCCCCGGUAAACGGCGGCCGUAACUAUAACGGUCCUAAGGUAGCGAAAUUCCUUGUCGGGUAAGUUCCGACCUGCACGAAUGGCGUAAUGAUGGCCAGGCUGUCUCCACCCGAGACUCAGUGAAAUUGAACUCGCUGUGAAGAUGCAGUGUACCCGCGGCAAGACGGAAAGACCCCGUGAACCUUUACUAUAGCUUGACACUGAACCUUGAGCCUUGAUGUGUAGGAUAGGUGGGAGGCUUUGAAGCGUGGACGCCAGUCUGCGUGGAGCCAACCUUGAAAUACCACCCUUUAAUGUUUGAUGUUCUAACGUGGACCCGUGAUCCGGGUUGCGGACAGUGUCUGGUGGGUAGUUUGACUGGGGCGGUCUCCUCCCAAAGCGUAACGGAGGAGCACGAAGGUUAGCUAAUCCUGGUCGGACAUCAGGAGGUUAGUGCAAAGGCAUAAGCUAGCUUGACUGCGAGAGUGACAGCUCGAGCAGGUGCGAAAGCAGGUCUUAGUGAUCCGGUGGUUCUGAAUGGAAGGGCCAUCGCUCAACGGAUAAAAGGUACUCCGGGGAUAACAGGCUGAUACCGCCCAAGAGUUCAUAUCGACGGCGGUGUUUGGCACCUCGAUGUCGGCUCAUCACAUCCUGGGGCUGAAGUAGGUCCCAAGGGUAUGGCUGUUCGCCAUUUAAAGUGGUACGCGAGCUGGGUUUAGAACGUCGUGAGACAGUUCGGUCCCUAUCUGCCGUGGGCGUUGGAAGAUUGAGAGGGGUUGCUCCUAGUACGAGAGGACCGGAGUGAACGCACCACUGGUGUACGGGUUGUGAUGCCAAUUGCAUUGCCCGGUAGCUAAGUGCGGAAGAGAUAACCGCUGAAAGCAUCUAAGCGGGAAACUUGCCUCGAGAUGAGUCUUCCCUGGGCACUUGAUGCCCCUGAAGGGCCGUUGAAGACGACGACGUAGAUAGGCUGGGUGUGUAAGCGUAGCGAUACGUUGAGCUAACCAGUACUAAUGACCCGAGAGGCUUAACCUUACAACACCGAAGGUGUUU
rnacentral:rRNA from 1 species